rnacentral:rRNA from 1 species
GAUGAACGCUGGCGGCGUGCCUAAUACAUGCAAGUCGAACGAGUUCUCGUUGAUGAUCGGUGCUUGCACCGAGAUUCAACAUGGAACGAGUGGCGGACGGGUGAGUAACACGUGGGUAACCUGCCCCUAAGUGGGGGAUAGCAUUUGGAAACAGAUGCUAAUACCGCAUAGAUCCAAGAACCGCAUGGUUCUUGGCUGAAAGAUGGCGUAAGCUAUCGCUUUUGGAUGGACCCGCGGCGUAUUAGCUAGUUGGUGAGGUAAUGGCUCACCAAGGCGAUGAUACGUAGCCGAACUGAGAGGUUGAUCGGCCACAUUGGGACUGAGACACGGCCCAAACUCCUACGGGAGGCAGCAGUAGGGAAUCUUCCACAAUGGACGCAAGUCUGAUGGAGCAACGCCGCGUGAGUGAAGAAGGCUUUCGGGUCGUAAAACUCUGUUGUUGGAGAAGAAUGGUCGGCAGAGUAACUGUUGUCGGCGUGACGGUAUCCAACCAGAAAGCCACGGCUAACUACGUGCCAGCAGCCGCGGUAAUACGUAGGUGGCAAGCGUUAUCCGGAUUUAUUGGGCGUAAAGCGAGCGCAGGCGGUUUUUUAAGUCUGACGUGAAAGCCCUCGGCCUAACCGAGGAAGCGCAUCGGAAACUGGGAAACUUGAGUGCAGAAGAGGACAGUGGAACUCCAUGUGUAGCGGUGAAAUGCGUAGAUAUAUGGAAGAACACCAGUGGCGAAGGCGGCUGUCUGGUCUGUAACUGACGCUGAGGCUCGAAAGCAUGGGUAGCGAACAGGAUUAGAUACCCUGGUAGUCCAUGCCGUAAACGAUGAAUGCUAGGUGUUGGAGGGUUUCCGCCCUUCAGUGCCGCAGCUAACGCAUUAAGCAUUCCGCCUGGGGAGUACGACCGCAAGGUUGAAGCUCAAAGGAAUUGACGGGGGCCCGCACAAGCGGUGGAGCAUGUGGUUUAAUUCGAAGCAACGCGAAGAACCUUACCAGGUCUUGACAUCUUUUGAUCACCUGAGAGAUCAGGUUUCCCCUUCGGGGGCAAAAUGACAGGUGGUGCAUGGUUGUCGUCAGCUCGUGUCGUGAGAUGUUGGGUUAAGUCCCGCAACGAGCGCAACCCUUAUGACUAGUUGCCAGCAUUUAGUUGGGCACUCUAGUAAGACUGCCGGUGACAAACCGGAGGAAGGUGGGGAUGACGUCAAAUCAUCAUGCCCCUUAUGACCUGGGCUACACACGUGCUACAAUGGAUGGUACAACGAGUUGCGAGACCGCGAGGUCAAGCUAAUCUCUUAAAGCCAUUCUCAGUUCGGACUGUAGGCUGCAACUCGCCUACACGAAGUCGGAAUCGCUAGUAAUCGCGGAUCAGCACGCCGCGGUGAAUACGUUCCCGGGCCUUGUACACACCGCCCGUCACACCAUGAGAGUUUGUAACACCCGAAGCCGGUGGCGUAACCCUUUUAGGGAGCGAGCCGUCUAAGGUGGGACAAAUGAUUAGGGUG